rnacentral:rRNA from 1 species
CCUACGGGAGGCUGCAGUGAGGAAUAUUGGUCAAUGGACGAGAGUCUGAACCAGCCAAGUAGCGUGAAGGAUGACUGCCCUAUGGGUUGUAAACUUCUUUUAUAUGGGAAUAAAAUGUUCCACGUGUGGGAUUUUGUAUGUACCAUAUGAAUAAGGAUCGGCUAACUCCGUGCCAGCAGCCGCGGUAAUACGGAGGAUCCGAGCGUUAUCCGGAUUUAUUGGGUUUAAAGGGAGCGUAGGUGGAUUGUUAAGUCAGUUGUGAAAGUUUGCGGCUCAACCGUAAAAGUGCAGUUGAAACUGGCAGUCGUGAGUACAGUAGAGGUGGGCGGAAUGCGUGGUGUAGCGGUGAAAUGCUUAGAUAUCACGAAGAACUCCGAUUGCGAAGGCAGCUCACUGGACUGCAACUGACACUGAGGCUCGAAAGUGUGGGUAUCAAACAGGAUUAGAUACCCGAGUAGUC